rnacentral:rRNA from 1 species
GUGCCAGCCGCCGCGGUAAUACGUAGGGUGCAGGCGUUAAUCGGAAUUACUGGGCGUAAAGCGUGCGCAGGCGGCUCCUUAAGUCAGAUGUGAAAUCCCCGGGCUUAACCUGGGAACUGCGUUUGAAACUGGGGGGCUUGAGUGUGGCAGAGGGGGGUGGAAUUCCAGGUGUAGCAGUGAAAUGCGUAGAUAUCUGGAGGAACACCAAUGGCGAAGGCAGCCCCCUGGGCUAACACUGACGCUCAUGCACGAAAGCGUGGGGAGCAAACAGGAUUAGAAACCCUCGUAGUCC